rnacentral:rRNA from 1 species
UACAGAGGUCUCGAGCGUUAGGCGGAAUCACUGGGCUUAAAGCGUGUGUAGGCGGAUUGCUAAGUACCUUGUGAAAUCCCCACGGCUUAACCGUGGAACUGCUUGGUAUACUGGCUGUCUUGAGCCACUUAGGGGCGACCGGAACAAACGGUGGAGCGGUGAAAUGCGUAGAUAUCGUUUGGAACGCCAAAGGUGAAAACAGGUCGCUGGGAGUGUGCUGACGCUGAGACACGAAAGCCAGGGGAGCAAACGGG